CGUAGGGGGCAAGCGUUGUCCGGAUUUAUUGGGCGUAAAGAGCGUGUAGGCGGCUAGGUAGGUCCGUUGUGAAAACUCGAGGCUCAACCUCGAGCUGUCGAUGGAAACCAUCUAGCUAGAGUCCGGAAGAGGAGAGUGGAAUUCCUGGUGUAGCGGUGAAAUGCGCAGAUAUCAGGAAGAACACCCGUGGCGAAGGCGGCUCUCUGGUACGUGACUGACGCUGAGACGCGAAAGCGUGGGGAGCGAACAGGAUUAGAUACCCUGGUAGUCCACGCCGUAAAUGAUGGGUGCUAGGUGUGGGCCGUGUCGACUCCGUCCGUGCCGAAGCUAACGCAUUAAGCACCCCGCCUGGGGAGUACGGCCGCAAGGCUA
rnacentral:rRNA from 1 species